GAUGAACGCUGGCGGCGUGCCUAAUACAUGCAAGUCGAGCGAACGGACGAGAAGCUUGCUUCUCUGAUGUUAGCGGCGGACGGGUGAGUAACACGUGGAUAACCUACCUAUAAGACUGGGAUAACUUCGGGAAACCGGAGCUAAUACCGGAUGAUAUUUUGAACCGCAUGGUUCAAAAGUGAAAGACGGUCUUGCUGUCACUUAUAGAUGGAUCCGCGCUGCAUUAGCUAGUUGGUAAGGUAACGGCUUACCAAGGCAACGAUGCAUAGCCGACCUGAGAGGGUGAUCGGCCACACUGGAACUGAGACACGGUCCAGACUCCUACGGGAGGCAGCAGUAGGGAAUCUUCCGCAAUGGGCGAAAGCCUGACGGAGCAACGCCGCGUGAGUGAUGAAGGUCUUCGGAUCGUAAAACUCUGUUAUUAGGGAAGAACAUAUGUGUAAGUAACUGUGCACAUCUUGACGGUACCUAAUCAGAAAGCCACGGCUAACUACGUGCCAGCAGCCGCGGUAAUACGUAGGUGGCAAGCGUUAUCCGGAAUUAUUGGGCGUAAAGCGCGCGUAGGCGGUUUUUUAAGUCUGAUGUGAAAGCCCACGGCUCAACCGUGGAGGGUCAUUGGAAACUGGAAAACUUGAGUGCAGAAGAGGAAAGUGGAAUUCCAUGUGUAGCGGUGAAAUGCGCAGAGAUAUGGAGGAACACCAGUGGCGAAGGCGACUUUCUGGUCUGUAACUGACGCUGAUGUGCGAAAGCGUGGGGAUCAAACAGGAUUAGAUACCCUGGUAGUCCACGCCGUAAACGAUGAGUGCUAAGUGUUAGGGGGUUUCCGCCCCUUAGUGCUGCAGCUAACGCAUUAAGCACUCCGCCUGGGGAGUACGACCGCAAGGUUGAAACUCAAAGGAAUUGACGGGGACCCGCACAAGCGGUGGAGCAUGUGGUUUAAUUCGAAGCAACGCGAAGAACCUUACCAAAUCUUGACAUCCUUUGACAACUCUAGAGAUAGAGCCUUCCCCUUCGGGGGACAAAGUGACAGGUGGUGCAUGGUUGUCGUCAGCUCGUGUCGUGAGAUGUUGGGUUAAGUCCCGCAACGAGCGCAACCCUUAAGCUUAGUUGCCAUCAUUAAGUUGGGCACUCUAAGUUGACUGCCGGUGACAAACCGGAGGAAGGUGGGGAUGACGUCAAAUCAUCAUGCCCCUUAUGAUUUGGGCUACACACGUGUUACAAUGGACAAUACAAAGGGCAGCGAAACCGCGAGGUCAAGCAAAUCCCAUAAAGUUGUUCUCAGUUCGGAUUGUAGUCUGCAACUCGACUACAUGAAGCUGGAGUCGCUAGUAAUCGUAGAUCAGCAUGCUACGGUGAAUACGUUCCCGGGUCU
rnacentral:rRNA from 1 species